UGGAAGUGCAGUCUUAAUCACUAGACUGCAAGGCAAGUCCCUUUCCCUUUUUAAAGAUAGUUGCCUUAUAUUUUGGAUUUCCUUUGUUUUAUUCAUAUCUGUACUUUUUCCCCUCAUCCCUUAACUUUCCUUCUUCCCAGCUGAUAAUCAGUUGGUUCCAUUUUUGUCUCCAAGAGGCUCCUUCCUGGAACCCAGGCUCACUGAUUGUGGCUAAACUUCGUUCCCCUCUGCCGGCAGGUGCCAUAAAUUUGUCCUUGGACUUCCCCUCACCACCACCCUGGAAAUUCCCUUUGCUCCUCUAAGCCCGCCUUCCUGGGACUUCCUCUUCCUCGUUCUUGGCUAUUCAGGUUCCUCCCUCCCCUUCGUGGACCACAUCUUCCAGCAGCUUCCUGAGAAAGUAUACAGAGCCAGCUGAAAGAUGUCCUGUAAUUUCUGUGACCAGAGAAGACAUUCAGCCAUGCUGUCCCUCGGCCAAGAUGAACUAAGCCUGCGCCCCCAGAGAGCUGGUAUUUUGUUAAUUGUGUUGGGUUGAUAGUUGUUGCCCUCAGAAAGACUAAGCACAGAAGAACCGAUGCUUUUGAAUUGUGAUGCUGGAGAAGACUCUUGAGAGUCCCUUGGACAGCAAGGAGAUUAACCAGUCAAUCCUAAAGGAAAUCAACCCUGAAUAUUCAUUGGAAGGACUGAUGCUGAAGCUGAAACUCCAAUACUUUGGCCACCUGAUGCGAAGAGCCAACUCACUGGAAAAUAUCCUGAUGCUGGGAAAGAUUGAAGACAAAAGGAGAAGGGGACAGCAGAGGAGAAGAUGGUUAGAUAGCAUUACUGACUCAACGGACAUGAAUUUAAGCAAACUCCAAGAGACAGGGAAGCCUGGCAUGCUAUAGUCCAUGGGGGUCACAAAGAAUUGGACAUGACUUAGUGACUGAACAAAACCCAUAGAAAAAGAAAAAGUCUUCUUCUGUCCCAGGCACAUACUGAAGUGUUAAUGGGUAAAAUUAUGUCCUGUGUGCAGGAUGAUGAAACAGCAUUGAGAAACAGCGUUGAUUAAUAAACGGGAUGGGGGGCCUGAAUAUUCACUGAAAGGACUGGUGCUGAAGAUCCAAUACUUUGGCCACCUGAUGCAAAGAGCUGAAUCAUUGGAAAAGACCCUGAUGCUGGGACAGAUUGAAGGAGGAGAAAGGGACGACAGAGGAUGAGAUGGUUGGGUGUCAUCACCUUUUCAAUGGACAUGAAUUUCAGCAAGCUUGGGGAGUUGGUGAUGGACAGGGAAGCCUAGCAUGCUGCAGUCCUUGGGGUCGCAGAGUCAGACAUGACUGAGCAACUGAACUGAACAGACUGGGCCUUGCUUUAUUCACUGUGUGUAUCUGGUUUGCUUGAAAGUGCUCAUGAUAAAAUUUUGGGUGGAAGGGGGAGUUAAGGAAAUGGCCCAAAGACCCCCCUUCCUGGACUACAAAAGUAUAAAAUGGGGUGGUGGGCAGGGUAGGGUGACAGCUGGCCAAUUCUUCAAUUUAAAAGAAAGAGAAAAAAACUAAGAGGGGCAGGAAUCUGAUGAACACAUUCACAUCCCAGAAAAGCAAAGAAAACCACUUAAGUCUUCCUAUUCCUUUUAAACCAUUUAGAAUACAUUUUAGCAUGUGUGAGCUGGUCUGGCUGUUCUUACAAAGUUUAAGAAAUCUGUGACCUUGGAACUCUGAGACGUGUGUCAGAUAUUGAAUCUUUUUUAAUGGUGGUUGGAGGACUGUGUUUCAGACAUCAGUAUGUACUUUUUCAAAGGUACAUUCUAUACUGAAUUCUUAAAUAUUUGAGAUAUAGAACUUUUUUUUAAGGAAAAAAUGUAAAAAUCUGCAUCGUCUCAGAGGCAUUGUUUUGGUUAGGAGGGAAGAUGACAGGACUGCAGCCAACCAAAGCAGAAAGGCGGAGAAUGGCAAGGGGCCUGCGGUUUUGUUUACGAACGCUCUUCUCCAAGGCUGAACUUCUUGGAAAGGGGUUUAUUUUGUUUCACGCUGACCCAGCUCCACUUCUAGGUCAUUUUAGGAUCUCAGUUGGUGGCCACAGCUUUUGAGGUUUUUGAGCCAAGCUCCUUCUUUAAAAAAGGGGGGAAGGGGAUAUUGUUUAAGUACAAAGAUGUUAUAUGGACAAUAUUAAACAAAAUAAAAUAGAUUUUUUUCUUGGAAAACUAAAUUCUCAGUGUUGGUAGAGUGCAUCAAGUCAGUGAACUCAGACACAAUGUGCAUCUGACAGAAACAACAUCAAAAGGCAAAAUACUGCACAAUGUUUUUAAAGUGAUAAAAGCCAUUCCUGGAGCCCUAGCUCAGGAUGUGAGAGCAAGGAGGGAGGAAGUUGGAAAGUCAGACAAAACAGGGUGCCCCAGGCAAGACGGAGGGAGUAGGAUGCAGACUCAGAGACACAGACAAGGAGAUAGUCAAGAUGCAAAAUGCUAACCCCAGAGGAGGCACCUGCUCUAUCCUCGAGGUUUGCAUGAGGCUCCUGUAACUCUCUGUCCCACAAUCAAGUAACAGUAACAUGGGUGGGGAGCUGAGGCACAAAGUCUUCUAAAAGGUUCAGUUCCUGGUGGUCUUCCCUGGGAAGGAGAUAAGAAUUCACCACCCCAAAAUCUUCCUCUUUGGCAUAAGAAUUAUUUUGAGUUGAAAGCAAUUGAGAAUCAGCAAAUGCAGGAGAAGCUCUCUGCUCUCCCCUUAACUGCCUAAGAUCAGGGCACACAUUUGCAAGUGUGAAAGUGUCCUCUGUCCCCACUCGCACUCCCCAAAUCCCACGGUCCCACCCCACCCCUGUACCAGAAGAGGAGAGAACUCAUGACAGAGAUGAAGAGUGACAGCAAGCCGAGGUGGUGUCAGACCUGCCGGGACUACCCCAGCAGUCCAGUGUCUGAGACUGUGCUCCCAGUGCAGGAGGCACGAGUCUGAUACCCGUUCAGGGAACCCCGCAUGCUGAAACCAAGACCUGGGGUGUGUGUGUGUGUGUGUGUGUGUGUGUGUGCUCACGCAUGCUGGGCUCAGUCAUAUCUGAAUCUUUGCAAGCCCAUGGACUGUAGCCCGAAAGGCUCCUUUGUCCAUGGGAUUUUCCAGGCAAGAAUACUGGAAUAGGUUGCCAUUUCCUCCUCCAGGGGAUCUUCCCAACCCAGGGAUCUAACCAGAAUCUCUUGUGCCUCCUGAAUUGGCAGGAGGAUUCUUUACCAGCUGCACCACCUAGAAAGACCUUGUAACAGCCAAAUAAAUAAAUCAGUAUUUCAACAAACAUACAACAGCCCUGACUAUAAGAACUUUUAUCUUCCAUUAGUUCCCCCAUAUAUUUUCUACUUUCUUCCCCAGGAUUUAUCAUCUCUUGAAGCCCAAACUCUCCUUCCUUGGUUAAAAAUCUUUUAUGAUAUCCCCAAAUCUACUGAUUCUUUGAGUUCUACUUUGUUAAUGUGAACUCUCAUUUAUGUAAAUGUGUUUUAAACUUGCAUAUUCUGCCCCCCUUAAACUAUGUUUUUUCAUUUAAUUCUAAGUCCCUCAGCACAGAACCUAAGAGGGUGGAGGAAACAUUUUUUUCUUCCCCGACACCUGCAUGCAAGGACUAAUUAAAAUUAAAACACAAAUCAGAGCCCUCUGCUUAAUUCCCAGCCCCCAUGAAAAAAACUCACUGAAGGCAGUUAAGAUCGUGAGGCUACCGUGACUUGGCAAAAG
ensembl:lncRNA